rnacentral:lncRNA from 1 species
CACACACCUGUCCUUGUGCACAAGUAUUUGAGUCAUGGUCAUAGUACUGUUUCUCAUCGACCCACAUCUCGACGGCCUUAGCAGCCGUCAUAAAAUCGCCACUUCCCUGAGCUAGGUUUUCGCCGUAUUGGCCAUGAGAAUGUACGAGGUUGCAGUCUGCAGCCAAUUGAGAAACAUAAUUUUGUGCAUAGGCUGCUACCCCGUUGUCCCAAGUUAAUGGUUCCACGCCUACAUCUGCACGAGCUGUGUUAUGGGCAUCCAAAUAGUCUUGUUGAGAGUUUUGGGCAUGAGAAGAGUGAGAUAUUAUUAGGAAUAAGAGAAGUGUAGAGACAAGAAAAAAUGAGGGCAUUUGUGAAAAGAGAAAAAAUCCCAUGACUAUAGGAGAAAUGUUUUAUUUUGAAUGGAAAAACUAGAUUUACUACCACAGGUAUUUAUAGGAGAAAUCUUGAAGAUUUCACGGCGAUCAUUCAUGCACUUACUAAAAAUUUUUGACAUGGUAAUAUCAAUGUAAUAUAUCUUGUUAUAGAUAGUUAUUUAUCCUAUUUUCUAGGUUAUCAUAUUUUAAACUUAUAUAAGCAGUUACCAAUUAUUGUAAAAUAUUUUACCUGAUGUUGCAAAAUAAUUUUAAAUUGUCCAUGCAUGAAGUUAAACACUUUUUUGAUCUAGUAGAUGUGUUUUUUGUUAAAUAAAAUAGACUGGUUAUGGUUACUUGGUUAUGGUUACUGUGUUAAUUCUUCUAAUAUUUUCUACAUUUAACGAUCUGAUUAAUUUUUGCUUCGAUAUUUAUAUCUCUUUUGUUUCAGAAUGGGAAUGUCCAUUGGAAAAAGAAUUUAAAAUAAAUACUUUUUGGUGUUUCUUUUUUCUAAUAAUCUUAUUUCUAAAUCUUAUAUUAUAUUUCUUAUAAUAAUUUGUACAAUCAAUUCUCUAAAAGAAAAAAAUUAUAAUAAAACCAAACACAGUGUGUGUGUCUUCUUCUUUCUUUUCUCAAUAUUUGUGGAAAACUUGAACAUGGGCAGUCAUCUCGAUGACGUUAAAUAACUUUCAAAUUUGGAGGCAAAGCAUAUUUGGAUAUUCUUCAGUUCUUUCUCUAAUUUCCUUCCCUACACGUUACUCAUGUACUAUCACACUUUUCUAUUAUCUCAUUCCAAUCACAACUUGACUUUAGAUUCAAAUGGCAAUUUUUUUUUUUUGUGUGUGUAAAUAGCUUAUGUUUAUUUCGUUUCUCGACAUUAGUGGAAAAGAAAGCUCAAGUUUUAGGGAAAAAGCUAGAGUUUGAAAUCCUCUAGGGUGUUUUAAGAUUUAACUACUUUAUUUUUCCCAGAAAUAACACCCUAAAGCAUCUCGCUGUAAUGGCAUUCACUUAUUUUCCCUAUAAUUUUAAUGGAUAAAUGACAACCAAACUCCUUAAAAAGACUUCGGCCAAUGCUUUAGGUGGUGAAGUAUAGACCCAAGAGAAGACUUA